rnacentral:lncRNA from 1 species
AGGUGGAAUUGCUCAGUAUGAACGGACAAUUCCAGGCGCAGAGAGAGCGUAAGGAGUAGCCCCCCACCUGUCGCUUAGGCGCUGCUUCCUGUAACUCCUCACAACCCCGGCCCUCCGAGAGCCACCGCCCGGCAGCGCUCUGCGUCCUCCUCUCUGUUCAGCGGGGUCCGACCGUCCUUUUAGAAACCAGUGAAGCUGAGACCCGAGAGAGCAGAACAGGUUCCUGCUCUCCAGUACAACCAUGAGGCAGUGUUAGGAUGUCCCCAUUCUAAGGAUCCAACACCCCAUAUUUAAAAUAUGUGGGUUUAUUCAUCAGGACACAUAAUACCCUCCCUUCCUAGCGGCAGGAAGCAGGACUAGAAAUCUCCGAUCCCUGAAAUGCUAUUGUGCCUGGAGGACAGGCCUCCUCCCUGCGGUCGUGGGGCAACAGUCUAUCCUGCAGAUGUUGGCAGUGUGUUCGACUUACCACUCCCAGGCCAUGGGGAUGGACACGGUCACACUCACGAUGAGCAGACGACACUUCCUCCCUGCACAUACAGCCCACCAUUACCAAACCACUCUGUCCCUGGAAGCACGAACCUGGCUAUUUCAGCUCUGCAGCCCAGCAGUGCCUUUCUUUCUCCACUUCCGAAGCUUCCAAUCCUCCCCAAAAGUGGCUGGAGUCUUUCCUGUCAGUGUGCCAACGUGUGAGUUCUUUAGGGAGCCCACUCUGAGUCACAGGCCAAUGUGGAAGAGCACGCGACAUGAGAGGAGUGAGCAGGGAAACGAGGACGACGCCUUCGUGGGACAGGAGCGGCAGGAGACAGAGGGAGGCAGUGUCCCUGUUUCCCCUCCCUGGCCCAGGCUGAGCUGCGGGUGGAAGUGUGGUCCAAUCACCCAGACACGCCGGGCAGUGUGGGAGGCUUCC